AUAUGUGAGGAAAGUCCGCGCUCCACAGAGCAAGGAUGCUGGCUAACGGCCAGUGGGGGUGACCCCAAGGCUAGUGCAACAGAAAUAUACCGCCCAUCUGGGUAAGGUUGGAAAGGCGAGGUAAGAGCUCACCAGGUCAUUAGUGAUAAUGAUGCUAUGUAAACCCCAUUCGGAGCAAAACCAAAUAGGAAUAACAGAUGCUGCUCGCAUCUGCCGGUAGGUAGGUUGCUAGAGAUUAUAGGCAACUAUAAUCCAAGAUUGAUAGUUGACAAAACAGAACGCGGCUUAUAGAUUUGCUUA
rnacentral:RNase_P_RNA from 1 species